ACACAUAUUGAUUGUGGUUGAUUCCAGUCAACGAAGGUUACAAAACAUAUGCCAUUUUCUGGGAAUGAACAAAUUAUAUGUAUUCACAAUAUGAACACAAUGACAAGAAGUCAUGCCCAUCAAAUGGACAAAGAAUAGAUUGGCAGAACACAGCCACUUUUACAAUUUAGAUGUUGUAUAUUAAAGACAGCUUCAAGAGAGGAUUCACUGAAAUAGGUUUCAAUUGAACAUUACAACAGCUAAAUUUUUUUGAAGAGAUGUUACUUGUCAUGAAGACAAAGCUCCAGCACUCGCCUUGCCCCUUUUGUAACUCAGAAGAGGAAAGAUCGGGUGAGCCAUAUUAUAAAUUGCACAAAAAGUAAAGCAAAAAUUCAUACAUUAGUAGAAAAAUAGUCCAAUAUCUCUACUUUCCACGUGAGCUAAAAGACUCAAUUACAUGUCCGAAAGUCUGAUCCACAGCUUUGUUCCAUAGGUGGGAAAAUUCCAGACGAGAUUUCUUCCCAAAAAUAGGCUCCCUUAUCUGAUAAGUUGAAAGAAUAAAGUUUAAAAUUUGAAGAGGUAAGACCAUGGAUUCAAUAUUUUUUUAUCUAUUUCAUGAACUUAAUGAAUAUGGAAAUUGCAAAUGCAUAAAUUCUGAGUUACUCAACACAUGAACUAAUAACUCGUCCUUCUACUGUAAUGCGUAAAACCUUGAUAUGAAAAUAAUGGAGGCAAGAUUAUUUAGGAAACCACAUAUACAAAACACACAACACAGCAGUUCCACUAAACAUAGUCAAAAAUCAGCAUGAUGUCCUUAACAAAUCAAUGUCAAAUCCAUGAAAAUGGUCUACAAGUAUUGCACUUUAACAAAUAUAUCACUCGUUUGAUACACGAGACAUGGAAUUAAAUGAGCUAAAGACACAAUGCGAGGCUCCCAUUAGCUGUUCAAAAUAGCAGACAGUAGUGUAUACAAUAUGUACAUAUAGAUCGUGUAUUAAUCGAAUCAAAGGAAAUCAUAGGCAUACACCAGUGGCUUUGACAAAGCUUUUGGCAAUGCCAUUAAGGUGGGUGACCCAAAUCAACUGGAAGAAGAAAAAAGUUACACGCAAAUAGGAAAUGCGGAAUUUGAGAAGCAAAAUCCAGAUAUUACUAUCAACUUAGUGGUUUGGAGGUUAUUGCAUUCUUUCAACAAUGGUGGUUCCAAACAGAACUUGUGGAAUCCACAUUCACAAGGUGUUGAAUACACAUUCACAAGGCAUUGAAUCUCCUUCAUUAUUGACUGCCACAUCCUCACCAUCAAUCUCUCCUUCAGAAUCAAAUAAAGCUUCUAUUCCUACCAAAUAACAUUUCUUUUGUUCAUACCAAAUAAUAUAGACAUAGAUCCCUCAAGAACCAACAAAUGAAAAUUUCCUGUAACUUUGACUUUGGUGUAUACUUUUGCUUCUAACUGUUAGUUGUGUGCAUGUGCGUGUAUGCGAAACACAACAAAGCAAACGUACCGAUUAUUCCCUAAAUUUGCAUGAGAAUCCAAUAUAUUGCUCACUAAACAGUGUUUAAGACAGAAUGUAUAUGUAUGGUAGGGAAAGAAUAAUAAAUUGGAUUAAGGAUCUUACAGAUAUGGUU
rnacentral:lncRNA from 1 species